UUCUUCGAGACAUUUUAAAACAAUGGUGAAGAAUUACACAUGAUAACAUUCAAAACAUGUACACAAUUGAUGUGUUUUAGGAUGCAGAUUAGGAUUUCACGAUCGAUAAAGUGACAGCUUAUAUCACAUCCGGGACUUAUUGCAGAACAUCCACCAUUGUUACUAGAUGUUCCCCCUGUACCACCUCCAAGUGUGCCAGGACCAAAAGUAUUAACUGUGCUAUUGUUGGAAACUAAAAAAAUGAAAUAUACAGUGGCAAUUAUAAAUCAAGAGGAUUCACAAUUUAUGGGAAAUGCCUAAUAGUAUCACCAUACCUGUUGUUACAGGACAUUUGCAACCAAGACAACCAUUUGAAUCCAUAGAAACACAAUUCAUAUCACAAGUAGAGACAUCGAAGGCAGGACAUCCACCA